rnacentral:rRNA from 1 species
AGAGUUUGAUCCUGGCUCAGAAUCAACGCUGGCGGCGUGCCUAACACAUGCAAGUCGAACGCGAAAGCCCCGCAAGGGGUCAGUAGAGUGGCAAACGGGUGAGUAACACGUGGGUGACCUGCCUUCGAGUGGGGGAUAACGUCCCGAAAGGGACGCUAAUACCGCAUGACAUCCUGCCUUUGGAAAGGCGGAGAUCAAAGCCGGGGAUCGCAAGACCCGGCGCUUGAAGAGGGGCCCGCGCCUGAUUAGCUAGUUGGUAGGGUAACGGCCUACCAAGGCGACGAUCAGUAUCCGGCCUGAGAGGGCGGACGGACACACUGGGACUGAGACACGGCCCAGACUCCUACGGGAGGCAGCAGUGGGGAAUUGUUCGCAAUGGGCGCAAGCCUGACGACGCAACGCCGCGUGGAGGACGAAGAUCUUCGGGUCGUAAACUCCUGUCGAGCGGGACGAACACCCAUCCGGUGAAUAUCCGGGAGGGCUGACGGUACCGCUAAAGGAAGCCCCGGCUAACUUCGUGCCAGCCGCCGCGGUAAUAC